rnacentral:rRNA from 1 species
GAUGAACGCUGGCGGCGUGCCUAAUACAUGCAAGUCGAGCGAACGGACGAGAAGCUUGCUUCUCUGAUGUUAGCGGCGGACGGGUGAGUAACACGUGGAUAACCUACCUAUAAGACUGGGAUAACUUCGGGAAACCGGAGCUAAUACCGGAUAAUAUUUUGAACCGCAUGGUUCAAAAGUGAAAGACGGUCUUGCUGUCACUUAUAGAUGGAUCCGCGCUGCAUUAGCUAGUUGGUAAGGUAACGGCUUACCAAGGCAACGAUGCAUAGCCGACCUGAGAGGGUGAUCGGCCACACUGGAACUGAGACACGGUCCAGACUCCUACGGGAGGCAGCAGUAGGGAAUCUUCCGCAAUGGGCGAAAGCCUGGCGGAGCAACGCCGCGUGAGUGAUGAAGGUCUUCGGAUCGUAAAACUCUGUUAUUAGGGAAGAACAUAUGUGUAAGUAACUGUGCACAUCUUGACGGUACCUAAUCAGAAAGCCACGGCUAACUACGUGCCAGCAGCCGCGGUAAUACGUAGGUGGCAAGCGUUAUCCGGAAUUAUUGGGCGUAAAGCGCGCGUAGGCGGUUUUUUAAGUCUGAUGUGAAAGCCCACGGCUCAACCGUGGAGGGUCAUUGGAAACUGGAAAACUUGAGUGCAGAAGAGGAAAGUGGAAUUCCAUGUGUAGCGGUGAAAUGCGCAGAGAUAUGGAGGAACACCAGUGGCGAAGGCGACUUUCUGGUCUGUAACUGACGCUGAUGUGCGAAAGCGUGGGGAUCAAACAGGAUUAGAUACUCUGGUAGUCCACGCCGUAAACGAUGAGUGCUAAGUGUUAGGGGGUUUCCGCCCCUUAGUGCUGCAGCUAACGCAUUAAGCACUCCGCCUGGGGAGUACGACCGCAAGGUUGAAACUCAAAGGAAUUGACGGGGACCCGCACAAGCGGUGGAGCAUGUGGUUUAAUUCGAAGCAACGCGAAGAACCUUACCAAAUCUUGACAUCCUUUGACAACUCUAGAGAUAGAGCCUUCCCCUUCGGGGGACAAAGUGACAGGUGGUGCAUGGUUGUCGUCAGCUCGUGUCGUGAGAUGUUGGGUUAAGUCCCGCAACGAGCGCAACCCUUAAGCUUAGUUGCCAUCAUUAAGUUGGGCACUCUAAGUUGACUGCCGGUGACAAACCGGAGGAAGGUGGGGAUGACGUCAAAUCAUCAUGCCCCUUAUGAUUUGGGCUACACACGUGCUACAAUGGACAAUACAAAGGGCAGCGAAACCGCGAGGUCAAGCAAAUCCCAUAAAGUUGUUCUCAGUUCGGAUUGUAGUCUGCAACUCGACUACAUGAAGCUGGAAUCGCUAGUAAUCGUAGAUCAGCAUGCUACGGUGAAUACGUUCCCGGGUCU